rnacentral:rRNA from 1 species
UCAGGAUGAACGCUAGCGAUAGGCUUAACACAUGCAAGUCGAGGGGCAGCACGGUGUAGCAAUACACGUGGUGGCGACCGGCGUACGGGUGCGUAACACGUAUGCAACCUACCCGCUAUGGGGGAUAACCCGGCGAAAGUCGGACUAAUACCCCAUAUUAUUCUUACCGGGCAUCCGGUAGGUCUGAAAGAUUUAUCGAUUGCGGAUGGGCAUGCGGAUGAUUAGCUAGUAGGUGGGGUAACGGCUCACCUAGGCGACGAUCAUUAGGGGUUCUGAGAGGAAGGUCCCCCACACUGGAACUGAGACACGGUCCAGACUCCUACGGGAGGCAGCAGUGAGGAAUAUUGGUCAAUGGGGCGCUAGCCUGAACCAGCCAAGUCGCGUGAAGGAUGAACCGGAUCUAUGGUUUGUAAACUUCUUUUGCAGGGGAGUAAAGUGCGACACGUGUGUUGUAUUGCAAGUACCCUGCGAAUAAGCAUCGGCUAACUCCGUGCCAGCAGCGGC